GAUGAACGCUGGCGGCGUGCCUAAUACAUGCAAGUCGAGCGAACAGACGAGGAGCUUGCUCCUCUGACGUUAGCGGCGGACGGGUGAGUAACACGUGGAUAACCUACCUAUAAGACUGGGAUAACUUCGGGAAACCGGAGCUAAUACCGGAUAAUAUAUUGAACCGCAUGGUUCAAUAGUGAAAGACGGUUUUGCUGUCACUUAUAGAGGGAUCCGCGCCGCAUUAGCUAGUUGGGAAGGUAACGGCUUACCAAGGCAACGAUGCGUAGCCGACCUGAGAGGGUGAUAGGCCACCCUGGAACUGGGCCACGGUCCAGACUCCUACGGGAGGCAGCAGUAGGGAAUCUUCCGCAAUGGGCGAAAGCUUGACGGAGCAACGCCGCGUGAGUGAUGAAGGUCUUCGGAUCGUAAAACUCUGUUAUUAGGGAAGAACAAAUGUGUAAGUAACUAUGCACGUCUUGACGGUACCUAAUCAGAAAGCCACGGCUAACUACGUG
rnacentral:rRNA from 1 species